rnacentral:rRNA from 1 species
AAUCAGUCAUGGUUCCUUUGAGCGAUGAUCGUUACUUGGAUAACUCUGGUAAUUCUAGAGCUAAUACAUGCGCAAAGCGCUCUUCCGAGCGUGCUUUUAUUAGUACCAANACCAAUGCGGGCGCAAGCUCGCUCUGUCUGGUGAACUCUGAAUAACGGGGAGAUCGCACGGCCCUGCGCCGGCGACGCAUCUUUCAAGUGUCUGCCCUAUCAACUUUCGAUGGUAGGGUAUUGGCCUACCAUGGUUGUAACGGGUGACGGGGAAUUAGGGUUCGAUUCCGGAGAGGGAGCCUGAGAAACGGCUACCACAUCCAAGGAAGGCAGCAGGCACGCAAAUUACCCACUCCCGACACGGGGAGGUAGUGACGAAAAAUAACAAUGUUGGACUUUUUAAGCCCAGCAAUUGGAAUGAGUACACUUUAAAUCCUUUAACGAGGAUCAAUUGGAGGGCAAGUCUGGUGCCAGCAGCCGCGGUAAUUCCAGCUCCAAUAGCGUAUAUUAAAGUUGCUGCAGUUAAAAAGCUCGUAGUUGGAUCUCAGGGUCCGGGAUGAGGUCGCCCUCCGGGUGUAACUUUUGACCGGGCCCAGUAUCGACUUGCGGACCUCCCUCGGUGCGCUUGACUGUGUGCCGUGGGACGGGCCGUCGUGUUUACCUUGAAAAAAUUAGAGUGCUCAAAGCAGGCUUUCGCCUGGAUAGUUCAGCAUGGAAUAAUGGAAUAGGACCUCGGUCCCGUUCUGUUGGUCUCCAGGACACGAGGUAAUGAUUAAGAGGGACAGACGGGGGCAUUCGUACUGCGGCGCUAGAGGUGAAAUUCU